AAGACGACGUCACCAGCAGGUACGUGCAAAGAACCAGUCGAACGUAGGCAUACAAGUACCACCAAAAGCAUUGUGCAAUGAGAAGAGACAAACGAAAGAGGAGGCGAAAAGAGAGAAAACGCCUUCUAUGAGCAUUGUUUCAUCCUAGAUAUAAGCACCUGCUAGAGAGAACCACAGCAUUCGGACCUGCAACAUACUUCAUAAUGAGAAAGGUUUUGCAGUUUGCGUGUUCUGCUCGUUUUGGCCGCUGCAGUCAUUAUUUUUUUGGCAGUGGAAAAUCAAUGUCCACAAUUUGCUCAUGCUGAACCUGUUUCGAAGUCCCGUUCGAGAAAUUCACGUCAUGGCCAUGGUCGUGCAUGUCGUCCUCAACAUAGACCACCCGGUGGAUUCUCAAGUCAAGCGGUUCGUGGAGGCCCUACAACACGAAAAAUAUCGACUGCAAAGAUCAAGCUUUGAGAGACUGCUGUAUGGACCAUCGUGAACAUUUUCAAGAUGUCCUCCCGUGCGAUUCCACGCGAAACGGAAGCAACAAUAGAGCUACCGAAUGUAUUCCGACCACUUUAUUGCAACUAAUAAACAUGUUAUAAUGCUA